CUGGGCAUCCCAUAAUGUCUCCCUUCAUCCUGGGUAUGAAGCAUUUAUUGAACAAUCUGCUGAGACUGGCUGUCUUUUCGAAAACACCCAAACAUCAUAUCCCCGGAACCAGCUUUUCCUCUUGUCAGAGAGAAACUUGUCCUUCUGCAGAAUUCCGUGCGCCCCAUUUGUAGGUUUAGAGAUGAUAUGUUACCUCGUGAGUUGCUUCUCCCACGUGGUUGAUCUAUAGAGGGCUUCACUUCUGUGCCACUCAUUUUUAAAGUGGGGGAGGCUGUCUGGUGAGCACACAUUAAUAUGCGGCACAUAACCACAUCUCUGAAUGCCAGUCUUCCAUUCUUCAUUAAACAAAAAUGGCUGGAUUGCCAGGAUUGUUUGUCCUUUCUCCCACACACAUAUGCACACACGCUCACAUUCACUUCUCAGGCACACAUACAUGCACACAACCUUCUCACGCACCUACACACCCACCCAAGACACCCAGAGCGUAUCAGUGUCAGGAUUGAGUUGCGUGUGAAAGUUGUCUGCUGCACACAUGACGAAUAAGGAGAUUCCAGCAUACACUGGGGCUUUUUUUUUUCCUUUUUUUCCUUUUUUUUUUCCCCAUGCAGCAACAAGUGGCAGAAUCAAUGGUGUACAGUUAUUCAGCAAUGUAAUUCAUUUCACUGGCUUUGGCUCCUAGCCAGAUCCGCCAUCUGUCUCUAGCUCUCCCUCUCCCCCUCUCUCUCCCUCUCCCUCUCUUUUGCUUGAAUUUGUCCUACAUUUCGUAAUAUUACGUGCCUGCCAUCCUUAUCCUAUGCCAGAGGUACACCACCGCUCUCACCCCCAUUCCGGCGUGGAGUUCUCUGAGUUCGGUGGCACUUGGGAUACUCCACCUCAGUGCCAUGGGAGGAAAAGGCCUUUUAUCCAAAGCCUUGAGAUGGAUCUGCCUCAUCCAGGAACUUUUCCUGCUUCGUUAGAGUAUCUUCGUUUCCUUUAUCAGACGCUGGCACUCCACGCCAGCGCACGGCUCCAUGGAAUGCCUGCUGUUGGACACUUGCAGAGCUCUGCCACCAAACAACCUCCUGCAUUGGAAAUCGGGGGACUCCUCCAGGAUCUUAUGCGUGCUUGCUGCUUGAAGCUGCAGAAAAGUGAAUAA
rnacentral:lncRNA from 1 species